rnacentral:lncRNA from 1 species
UCCCUUUUCGCUAUUCUUCGUCUGAUUGUAUUCCAGGCUAGGGUUCUGUCUUGGUCGAGGUGCUCCUCCCGUCGAUGUCGAGGUCUAGCUAGUCCCGGUGUUUUCUCCUCGUCUGUUCCGUUGAUAUUGGUAUCGUGUUCUGAACCUUGCUGCUUUGGUUUAGGGUCGAGGCUAAUCUACUUUGAUUUGACUUCUGAUCUGAUUUAGGGAUCUAUCAUGCUCUGGUUGCGAUGUGAUUUAGGGUCGCGUCUUAUCCUUUAUAUUAUUAUCAUGGUCAUGAUUGCUUAUUGGAUUUAAGGUUGUGAUGAGAAAUGGAGAUUAUAUUUGGCGUGAAUAACGAGGUCUGUCGGUAUAGAUACGUGGAGGUGGAGCAGUUUGUUUUGUUUCAUUUCUGUUUGUUCUGGAAUCUGGAGGAUUGGUCUGGUCGGUUUAGUUGGUUCCGUGGAGAUGUUUGACAUGAUCCGAAUGAGAGAUUGAAGGUUGUGGUUUCAUUUUGGCUUGGUCAGUUCAAGGUGUUUAUAUUUUUGUGGCGAAAAACAACGGGUUGGAGACAGUUCACAGUCAAAAUUCUGCUGUUAUUUUUGCUUUUGAUCCCGUUCCUUCAUACUUGGUCAGACUCAAUAAAAAUUGGAGGAAGUUGGAAAAAGGUUUGCUAGGUCUAUUUGGAUAUAUUUGCUUUCGCCUAUCAGCCUAUACACGUCAGAUUAUAUGGAAAGGAUUGUGCUAUAUUACCAUGUUAUAAACUGUGUUGACAUGUUCAUGGCGGAGGUGAUUCUUCAGUGGCUAUGUUUUGGUGUCAACUUUGGUUUGUUUCAUUUCAAGAUUCAUAGGAAAAUCGGAGGUGCUUGUUUUGUUUGCGUUCUAGAUUUAAUUUCUCAGGAAGCACCUUAAAUGAACAUGGAAGUUUGCUUUUGAAGUGAUCUGUUUGAAGGUUGUUUCAACUACAGUGAAGAUGCUCUUGGUUUGUCUCUGCAGAAUUACUUCACUGUUGCUGUGUUUUUCUUUGGUGGUAUGUCAAGGUGUAUUCAGAUGCUGGUUACUGUGUUGGAAUCUACCAAUCCUUCUGAUCACUAGUUUGUGUGUAUGAUUUUCUAAACGGAUAUUUGGUUGGGCUUCAGCUGGUUUCAUGUUCUGUCCGGUGUUGGAUUAGUCUUAGGUUGGUAAUUCGUAUUCUUAUUGUAAUCUGCAGCCAUGUUUUGUUAAUUAGUAUGUUCUAAUGCAAUUUAUGCUGUACACAAUUGUCAAUUAUGCAUCUGGUCUGAUGUUGCGAACUGUAACUGAUGUAAUUGUUGAAUGAUAUGUAUGGAUGCCUUAAUUUAGCCUUUCGUCGUCUGUCCAGUGUUGGAUUAGUCUUAGGUUGGUAAUUAGUAUUCUUAUUGUAAUCUGCAGCCAUGUUUUGUUAAUUAGUAUGUUCUAAUGCAAUUUAUGCUGUACACCAUUGUCAAUUAUGCAUCUGGUCUGAUGUUGCGAACUGUAACUGAUGUAAUUGUUGAAUGAUAUAUAUGGAUGCCUUAAUUUAGCCCUUCGUCGUCGCUUGGUUGGGUGUAUAAAAGCUAUAACCAAAUAGCAACUGAAUUUCAUAGCUUGAUGUUCUUACUCCCUGCAUAAGUUACAUUUUUAUUCAUUUUGCUUGGUUGGGGUGUAUAAUAGUUGUAACCAAAUAGCAACUGAAUUUCAUAGCUUGAUGUUCUUCCUCCCUGCAUAAGUUACAUUUUUAUUCAUUGUUAUCUGUUAAAAUUGAAUGGAGAUUGUUGUGAGCAUCCUGUUUUUCUAGUUGCCAUGAUCUCAAUUUAGUAAUGUUGACUAUUGACCUAACAUUCUGAACUUUGCUCCGUUAUCCUUUGUUAUGUUGUCCGUUCAUCCGUUUGGUCAGUUUAACUGUGAAAUAUGAUGGUUGUAUUUUCUUAUUCUGUCCUAUAAGUAUGCCCAAGAUUCAUUAUUAUCAC